rnacentral:lncRNA from 1 species
CUUUGCCCAAAGCAAAGCCUCCACCUGCGUGCUUGCAAGCCAUUAAUGCCUAACUAAAUGACACCGCUGGAGCCAGGAAUGAAGGUCAGCUGUGUAGAGGUGAAUGGAGCUAUUUCUCCUGUGCAGUGAUGCUGUGCCACCCGAGCUCCUGCGUAACGCUGAAGCGCAGUGAUGGGGACUGUCCCGUCCAGCAGACAGCAAUGGAUACAUAAAUAUGAGCACAGAGCUGCUGUGUUGGCUCCCCAGGACCACCAUACCCAUUAUGCUGCAGUUUGACCUCCGG